AGCAGCCGCCGCGGGAAUACGGAGGGAGCUAGCGUUGUUCGGAAUUACUGGGCGUAAAGCGCACGUAGGCGGCUUUGUAAGUCAGAGGUGAAAGCCUGGAGCUCAACUCCAGAACUGCCUUUGAGACUGCAUCGCUUGAAUCCAGGAGAGGUGAGUGGAAUUCCGAGUGUAGAGGUGAAAUUCGUAGAUAUUCGGAAGAACACCAGUGGCGAAGGCGGCUCACUGGACUGGUAUUGACGCUGAGGUGCGAAAGCGUGGGGAGCAAACAGGAUUAGAUACCCGCGUAGUCCCUGUCUCUUAUAA
rnacentral:rRNA from 1 species